UACGGAGGGUGCAAGCGUUAUCCGGAUUCACUGGGUUUAAAGGGUGCGUAGGAGGGCAGGUAAGUCAGUGGUGAAAUCUCCAAGCUUAACUUGGAACUGCCGUUGAUACUAUCUGUCUUGAAUAUGGUGGAGGUGAGCGGAAUAUGUCAUGUAGCGGUGAAAUGCUUAGAUAUGACAUAGAACACCGAUUGCGAAGGCAGCUCGCUACACCUAUAUUGACUCUGAGGCACGAAAGCGUGGGGAUCAAACAGG
rnacentral:rRNA from 1 species